rnacentral:rRNA from 1 species
GGCCAGACUCCUACGGGAGGCAGCAGUGGGGAAUAUUGCACAAUGGGGGAAACCCUGAUGCAGCGACGCCGCGUGAGUGAAGAAGUAUUUCGGUAUGUAAAGCUCUAUCAGCAGGGAAGAAAAUGACGGUACCUGACUAAGAAGCCCCGGCUAACUACGUGCCAGCAGCCGCGGUAAUACGUAGGGGGCAAGCGUUAUCCGGAUUUACUGGGUGUAAAGGGAGCGUAGACGGCAUGGCAAGUCAGAUGUGAAAGCCCGGGGCUCAACCCCGGGACUGCAUUUGAAACUGUCAGGCUGGAGUGCAGGAGAGGUAAGUGGAAUUCCUAGUGUAGCGGUGAAAUGCGUAGAUAUUAGGAGGAACACCAGUGGCGAAGGCGGCUUACUGGACUGUAACUGACGUUGAGGCUCGAAAGCGUGGGGAUCGAACAGGAUUAGAUACCCGUGUAA